rnacentral:tRNA from 1 species
GCGGCCGUUGCUGAAUUGGUAUAAGCGGAUGUUUUAGGGGCAUCUGGGAGCAAUCCCAUGUGGGUUCGAGUCCCACCGGCCGCA